rnacentral:rRNA from 1 species
UACGAAGGGGGCUAGCGUUGUUCGGAAUUACUGGGCGUAAAGGGUGCGCAGGCGGCCAAGUGUGUUAGGCGUGAAAGCCUGAGGCUUAACCUCAGAAUUGCACCUAAAACUACAUGGCUAGAGCAUUGGAGAGGGUAGCGGAAUUCACGGUGUAGCAGUGAAAUGCGUAGAUAUCGUGAGGAACACCAGAGGCGAAGGCGGCUAUCUGGACAAUCGCUGACGCUCAGGCACGAAAGCGUGGGGAGCAAAAGGG